rnacentral:rRNA from 1 species
GAUGGUAAACUUAACGUGUGUAGAAUGAAGCCAGGGGAAACCCUGGUGGAAGUUCGUAGCGGUUCUGACGUGCAAAUCGAUCGUCAAACAUGCGUUAAGGGGCGAAAGACUAAUCGAACCAUCUAGUAGCUGGUUCCGUCCGAAGUUUCCCUCAGGAUAGCUGGCAUUCAAUUUUCACAGUUAUAUCCGGUAAAGCGAAUGUUUAGAGGCAUUGGGCGUAAAAUACGCUCAACCUAUUGACAAACUUUAAAUGGGUAUGAAGUUCAUUUUUCUACUUCAUUGGGAAUGAACAGCGAAUGUGAGUGCCAAGUGGGCCAUUUUUGGUAAGCAGAACUGGCGCUGUUGGAUGCACAAAACGUCAAGAUAAAGAGCCAGAUGGUCUCGCUCAUCGGAUACCAUAAAAGGUGUUGGUCGAUAUAGACAGCAGGACGGUGGCCAUGGAAGUCGGAAUCCGCUAAGGAGUGUGUAACAACUCACCUGCCGAAUCGACUAGUCCUAAAAAUGGAUGGCGCUCGAGCGAGCCUCUUAUACUUGACUGUUACGAUACAACAAGCCAUUAACGGACAUCAUGUCGUAACAAGUAGGACGGUUGAUAUGGUUGCGUCGAAGGCUAACACGUGAGUGUGGCUUGAGCAGUCGUAUGUACAGAUCUUAGUGGUAGUAGCAACUAUUCAAAUGAGAACUUUGAAGACUGACGUGGAGAAAGGUUCCAUGUGAACAGCUAUUGGACAUGGGUCAGUCAGUCCUAAGAUGCGCUCGAAAGAGGGUACCGAACGAGGAAUAUCUAUAUUCAUAUCAUAUUUAUAUUCCAUCAAAUCGAAAGGGAAACAAGUUAAUAUUCUUGUACUAAGUGUCGGAGAUUGUUUGAUUUCGUGUCAAACAUAUGUGGUAACACAAACAAGCUCAAAUACAUCACAAGUGGUCCUGGAAAGAGUUUUCUCCUCUUUGUUACUUCAUCAGACGACCCUGGAAUCAGUUCAACUGGAGAUAGGGUUCAAAAUGAAGGUAAAGAGUAGCCGUUCUUGCUACUUCCUCGGUGCAUCAUUUGUGAUCCUUGAAAAUUUGAGCGAGAUAUUCAAUUUCGCACUUAUCUGUACUCUAAACCGCAUCAGGUCUCCAAGGUGAAAAGCCUCUAGUCAAUUAGAACAAGGUAGCACAAGGGAAGUCGGCAAAAUCGAUCGGCAACUUCGGGAUAACGAUUGGCUCUAAGUGCUAGGGUGUUCGGGCCUGAUGAUAAAGCAGUAGACUUGCUAUUGGAGCUGAGCUUUCGGAUGCAGCAAUGUGUCUGAUCGUUCGGACUAGUGGCUUGUCUUGCUGUGGAAUCGUUUUGCUACGGUAUGCGGUUCGCUUGCGGGUCGUAUUACUUCGGACAUCGUUUAAUAGCAAACUUAGAACUCGCUGCGUCUAGGGGAAUCCGACUGUCUAAUUAAAACAGAGCUUUGCGAUUGGCCGGAAAACUUGGUGUUGACGCAAAGUGAUUUCUGCCCAGUGCUCUGAAUGUUAACGUGAAGAAAUUCAAAUAAGCGCGGGUAAACGGCGGGAGUAACUAUGACUCUCUUCUGGUACUGGACCAUUCAAAUAUCACGUUACUAUGAUUAAAGACGAAGAGAAGGAGAAUGCCAAUGAAAAAGAAUCGAAUCUUUGUAAAAUUGUUUCUCUAAACAAACUAUAACGUCAUGUUAUGAAAAGAAGAAAUUCAAUCAAUAACGAUUCGAUUUUAUUUUGUUUUAUUUUAUGAUUCCUGGUGUAUUUCUUUGUCAUUUUACGCAUUAUAGUACAAGUCAUCAAUAGAGCGAAAAGAAGACAUACAACAAAAAUUAAUUCUGAUCAUUGCUUGAAUAACAAAUAUAAUUGCUUUAUUUAAUCAACAUGUAUUAUCAAUUAUAAUGGAAUAAUUUAACUUCAACCAUCAAUAUCGUUUAUGAUCACAAGUUCCAAUGAAUUCAAGAGAAAUUUGUAUGGUUGAGGAUGCGAAGCUGAUAAUACAAAAGAGAAGUAAGAUUUGAUCGAUAGCAUUGUCAUUUUCUUAUGGUAGAAGUUUAUCGAAACUUGAUUUCAUUUACUAUUCAUUUAUAUCUAUUUAUUAUUUUAAUAAAUUAUUCGUUGAUGCUAAUGCAUUAAAGUAGAUAUAUUAUAUUAAUAGAUUUUUCAAAAGAAUCAUGUAUUGAGAAAACAUUUUUUUUGUCAUACGACGAUAUGAUCAACAACAAGAUAGAAUUGUAGUACACUCGUAAAUCAUUAUGACAUUUGCGCUCCGUUUAUCGAAAGAAUAGAUAGGUGCUUGGAAGAGGGAGGGUAGGGGGUAUUCCAAAGACGAAAAACCAAUCGAUAUCACGUCAUAUAUGAAUAGUAUC